rnacentral:rRNA from 1 species
GUUGUAUGGUUAAGUGACUAAGCGUACACGGUGGAUGCCUGGGCAGUCAGAGGCGAUGAAGGACGUACUAACUUGCGAUAAGCGCAGAUAAGGCAGUAAGAGCCGUUUGAGUCUGCGAUUUCCGAAUGGGGAAACCCAACUGCAUAAGCAGUUACUGUUAACUGAAUACAUAGGUUAACAGAGCAAACCGGGGGAACUGAAACAUCUAAGUACCCCGAGGAGAAGAAAUCAACCGAGAUUCCGGUAGUAGCGGCGAGCGAACCUGGAUUAGCCCUUAAGCACUCGGUGAAGUAGGUGAACAAGCUGGAAAGCUUGGCGAUACAGGGUGAUAGCCCCGUAACCGACGCUUCAUCGAGCGUGAAAUCGAGUAGGGCGGGACA